UACAGAGGGGGCAAGCGUUGUUCGGAAUUACUGGGCGUAAAGGGCGCGUAGGCGGCCUGUUAAGUCGAACGUGAAAUCCCUGGGCUCAACCCAGGAACUGCGUCCGAUACUGGCAGGCUUGAAUUCGGGAGAGGGAUGCGGAAUUCCAGGUGUAGCGGUGAAAUGCGUAGAUAUCUGGAGGAACACCGGUGGCGAAGGCGGCAUCCUGGACCGAUAUUGACGCUGGGGCGCGAAAGCCAGGGGAGCAAACGGG
rnacentral:rRNA from 1 species